UACAGAGGUCUCAAGCGUUGUUCGGAUUCAUUGGGCGUAAAGGGUGCGUAGGCGGCGCGGUAAGUCGGGGGUGAAAUCUCGGGGCUUAACUCCGAAACUGCAUUCGAUACUGCCGUGCUUGAGGACUGGAGAGGAGACUGGAAUUUACGGUGUAGCGGUGAAAUGCGUAGAUAUCGUAAGGAAGACCAGUGGCGAAGGCGGGUCUCUGGACAGUUCCUGACGCUGAGGCACGAAGGCCAGGGGAGCAAACGGG
rnacentral:rRNA from 1 species